GUGGGGAAUCUUGCGCAAUGGGCGAAAGCCUGACGCAGCCAUGCCGCGUGAAUGAUGAAGGUCUUAGGAUUGUAAAAUUCUUUCACCGGGGACGAUAAUGACGGUACCCGGAGAAGAAGCUCCGGCUAACUUCGUGCCAGCAGCCGCGGUAAUACGAAGGGGGCUAGCGUUGCUCGGAAUUACUGGGCGUAAAGGGCGCGUAGGCGGACAGCUUAGUCAGAGGUGAAAGCCCAGGGCUCAACCUUGGAAUUGCCUUUGAUACUGGCUGUCUUGAGUAUGGGAGAGGUGAGUGGAACUCCGAGUGUAGAGGUGAAAUUCGUAGAUAUUCGGAAGAACACCAGUGGCGAAGGCGACUCACUGGCCCAAUACUGACGCUGAGGCGCGAAAGCGUGGGGAGCAAACAGGAUUAGAAACCCCAGUAGUCC
rnacentral:rRNA from 1 species